rnacentral:lncRNA from 10 species
AUUUAUUUCAGUAUCUUGCCAGCACCCACAGCAUUUAUGAUCUUUGAGGCCACAGUAGAGCAGCAGCACAGAAGGGUGACUAUAGUCAAUAACAAUUUAAUUGCAUAUUUAAAAAUAACUAAAACAAUAUAAUCGGAUUGUUUGUGGCACAAAGGAUAAAUGCUUGAGGGGAUGGGUGCCCCAGUCUCCAUGAUGUGCUUUUUCACAUUGCAUGUCUGUAUCAAAACAUCUCAUGUACCCCACAAAUAUAUACACCUACUCUGUGCCCAUGAUAAUUAAAAAUAAAAAUAAAAAAUUUUUAAUCAGGAAACACUGAUCAUGACCUGUCCUCCCCAGUUCCCUCCCUUCCUGUGUCACAAACCAGGAACCAAAAGGUCUCUGCUCCCCUUACCCUGGCCUGGGUGGCACAGGCCUGUCCUUCCUCUAGCUCUGUCCCUUCUCCCUGCCCUGUUGUCCCCUCAUUCUUCCCCCAAAAUACACUCAAGCCCUCUCUCCUUCAAGGCAGCUGGCAAAUUUUCAAAGUACCUCAAGUUUCUGAUGUAAAACCAGGUUUUCCUUCUGGACAAAAGGAGUGGGGAAGAAAACUGUACUUCUAUUCCUAAGAGAGGGUCUCAGGCCCUUAGAGAGGAAAAGAUUCUGUACUAAAGAUAAUACUGGAAAAAAAUCAACCCAGGGCAGUCACCCGUAGAGCAGAGGUUCUAAUGCUGGCCUCAUACUCAGACCACCAAGGUGGCUCUGGCCCGUCUCCAGGCCCAGGUGUCUUCAAACAGCAGGUGUUUCAGAUGCACAGCCAAGGCUGAGAGGCAUUGUGCUGGAUGUUGGGUCCAGUCUUCUGGGGGCCUACAAGGGGUGAUUAAGUUCCCCUGUCUACCUCAAAAUGUUCUAAUGUUUGUAGAGUUGCUUACUGGGCCAUCUGCAUUACCAAGGAACAGCGAACCAGAAGGCUGAAGUGGCCGACAGUCUGGUUUUAUGAGCCCCCAGGGGAUGUGCCCGGAACUUUGAGAACCAUUGACCUUUACUAACAAGGUAAGGGACAGUGACACAGGAGAGCUUAUCAGACUGAAAACCUGUGAAGUCGUUUCACAUUUCAUCAGCAGUUUAACAGUGACAGGUACUUGUAAAAAGCUCACAAGGUUGAUCUGAGGACUUCACUGGAUCAGUGCCUCCCUAACUUCUGGGUGUUUAGUGUGCGUGCACGUCAUCUGGAGAGCUGCGGAAAAUCCCCAGGAGUGGAUCAUCCAGGGAAGGCCAUGGAAAUCCCCGGGAGUGGACCCAUUCAGAAGGGCGUGAGCUUCCAUGUCCCUAACCUGCUCCCAGGAAAGGCCGUGGAAAUCCCCAGGAGUGGACCCAUUCAGAAGAGGGAGGCACUGAGCUGACGCCUGGUUGGAUCCCCUGCAAACGUGCCCACACUCCUCUUUCUAGGAGGCACUGAGCCGGCGCCUGGUUGGAUCUCCUGCAGCACUUCACCUCUCCCUGGGCCUCAGAUUCCUUAUUUGGAAAAUGAGAACAACUUUGCGAGACUGCUAUGGAUGCCAACACCACAUCCGGCACAGGCGUGGAGGUCUGGGCAGCAGCCUGGGGCUCUCUGGGCCUAACUCUACCUUCCAUUCCCUCUGCCCACUCCUUCUUGUCCCUUCUGGUCUCUGUCCUCAUGGCUCUAGACACUAGUCCCUGUCAGAUGUGCUAGAAGGACCUGAGACAAAUUGAUGGCAGCAAUCUGUUUUGUAACAAUAAAUUGCUAGAACAAUAAAACACAGCCUGGGCACAUCAGAUGCAUGCAAAGGUGUGUAUGCAAAGGACACACCAUUGAGGGCGUUCUCUCCUUCUUUAACACCUUUCCCAAGUUAGGGGGCGGGGGGCAGGUUAACACAAAGCACUCAGAGCAGUGCCUGACCUGCGAAGCACUCCUGCAUGGCAGACUCUGUCUUUACUCUGCUGUGGCCCCCUCCAGCGCUGGUGCAAGCACUGGCCCUGUUCCCAGCCCGGCAGUGCUGUGGAGGUACCUGCAAAGCUGGCGUUCUGCUGUUUUCUCAUGGAGUCAUCAUGGUCAAGUACCAGAGCCUUGUAACCUGAAGUUAUCUUGCUAGGGAAAUACAAAAACGUUUUUUAGGAUGUUGCGCUCGUAAAUCAUCACCAUUCAUUUCCUACAUCAGGAUGGGGAGGUCUCUUGUACAUAAAUGAAUUCACAUAGCCAUGUUCCAGUAACACCAGAUACAAAAGGCCUUGGCCUGACCUCAGCCCAUGAUGGUCCCCUAGAAGAAUAAGAGGCAAACUGGUUGUUGUAAGCCAGGGAGAUUUGCCAUUUGUCACUGCAGUAUCACCUCAUUAUCCUGACCUAUAUGAUUAACCACAGACAUGUACACCCCUUCACUGGACACCCCGCAACUGGCUACCAGAAACCCUAGAGAUAAACAUUUGGCUCACGGUGUAACAGAGGCAUCAGCCUUUAUGUGUGGUGUACACUUUGUAACCUAAUUUCUGGCUCCCUUUUUUUUUUCUCUCUCCUACUCAUACCAUCAUGUGGGGUUUUGUCUAUCCUUACAAAUUGCCUUAAAUUCUUUCUUCUUAGUUUAACUGGCCUGAGGUAGUGGCCUCCCCAUCCUGAUAUAGGAAAUAAGAGUGUAGAGUAUAAACAAAUAAUUUCCUAGAUCUCAAAAGAAAAAUCUUGCUUCUGCCAUUUGAUGACUUAUACACAGCUUAGUCCCAGAGCACAAAUGAAAAGAAAAACAAGGGAGUCAGCAUCUUGCAGCAGCAUCUCCUACUGUCCUUACCCCACACAGUGCACAUGCAGCUUUCUGGGUAGUG